GACCUCUCUGAUUGGCCGUGGUCCAGUUGAAAGUGCAGUUGGAAGAGAGAGAGCACUGUCCAAGUUGGGGAAUAAAAAGCCAGAGGAAUGGGACAACAUUUGGACGCUGUCAUGUUUGGCCUGAGAACCAAGUGGACAGCAGUGUGGAGGACGUUUUGUCUGUUGAAGAGACAACAGAGGAAAUUCUGAAGCUUGAUGAAGUGCUUCAGACUGCUUUAUCAAAUAGCAAAACAACACAAGCAAAAUAUCAUAAAAAAACAAAAGGCAGACCUAUUCCAAAUUUUCAAAUGGACAUGAAAGUGUGGAGGCUCAACAUGAGGAGCCAGCAGAGGAAAGUGGACAAGUUAGAUCCAAAUUACCUUGGCCACUAUAUGAUUAUUUGUAACUCUAAACUCUAGUACUUCAACAUUUGCUUGAAUUUUAAUGUUGUCUUUUCAAGGUUUGAAAAGUGCUUGAAUUUCAGAUGUGGUGCUUAAACGUGCUUGAAAGUGUAACUGUAUUUCAUUCACCACAAAUAAUUAUGA